GGCCCCGGGAGCCCGUUUGCUUCCCCGGGGAGCGGGGGCAGCCCGGCGUGUCCCGCCGCUGCAGUGCGGAGCAUCCGGGCCUGGAUCAGCAAUAGGGUGGCCAGCAGGACUAGGGCAAUGAGCAUCCCCCUGUACCCGGCCAUGCAAGCAGAGUCUCAGCCAUAAGCAGCUUUACACUGCAAAUACAACACAGAGAGACCUGGAACAGAAUAUACUACAGAGACCAAGUCUCACUUUCAGUGGUGAUUCACAGGGGCAAAUGAGGACAAAAUUAAUGAGGAAGAAGAGAAGAGGCAUAAUUUCUCUCAUAGGGGAAAAAAGAUCAUUUUAGGAGAAGGUAAACAAAACCCGCCAUUGCAGAGUGAUGCAGAGGGAGGAAGGAGGCUGUACUGCACAGUUUUGUGUGCAGCUUGGAAAAUGUAUUCCAUCGUCUUUACAGUGAAAAAGCUGGUGGAGCCACGUGGCUUCUUCAUGCUGGCAAGUUAGUUGUGUAUUUAGCAUGCUCAGCUGCUAGUAAGGUUGUAAACCAUACUUUUUACUCAGCUGCACUGCCAUGGGAUGGCCUUGAAUAACCUCCUGUGUCACAUCAGGGCUUUUAGCUGGUGAAAUGAAACAUGACUGUGAAUCAGAGGAAGGAAGAAAACAGACUCUCUUCAAAUUCCUUUUUGAUAGCCUGGACAUUCCUUUUGCCAGGAAGGCUCACUAUCAUGUACAUCCAUCCACAAACCCCAGAAAGCCAGAUCCAGUCAAUAAGGCUGACCAGAAGACUAGGAGUCUUUUGGUUCUUGAAAGCCCAAGAGGAGUGGUAUGAAAAUAACAGCUUCUCCUAUGUGGCUCUCUGGUGCUGUUGUAUGCUGCCUUACACUGCUGAGUCUGCAAACAUGAUUUCCUACGCCUCAGCUUGGAGGAAAGGCCAGAAAUACCAUGCCGGAAUCACACAGCACAUGUUCAAGGCAGGCAAGUGGCAGGUUCAAAGUGGAACAAAGAAACAGCUCCUUUACAUAACGCACAGUUAAGCUCUGGAGUACCUUUUCUCAGGAUUUUAUAGAUGCUGGAAGUUCCUGUGAGUUUCAGAAGUAAUUGAAAUACAAUCCUGGAAGAAAUAAACAUCAGAAGCUACCUGAUGCAGCUCUGCUGCUGUAUUAUACAGGGGGUUCUUAAGCCAAAACUUGCUGGAGACUGGAAGAGUAUACAGGGCAGAGAUUGCUAUAUGCUGACCCUACUCUUUAGUCUUACCACAGCACCACUGCUGGACAUUAUCAGAGAAAGGACUCUAGACUACACAGAAUGGUUGCAUCUGCUGUUGCUGGUUUUAUACAUUCUUACAUAAUGCAGGAUGAGACUAGAGUCUUCUGGGUUUACACACUUUCACACAGGGAAAUCCCACCUUUGGGAAACAGAGGCUUUUUCUAAAGAGACUUUUAGUGACAUCAGCUUUUAAUGACAAUAGAUCCCUAUAUUUCAUUCCAGAGCUGGGACUUCCAUCUUCACCUAUUUAUCCUUUAUAUAAUUUGUAAGAUGAUCUUUGUGUCGUAACAGAAAUCAGAUUUUUAUUAUAAUGUGUACUGCAAUACCUUAUAAGAAGAGAGAGAAGUUGCUCCUCAGAAGAAUUAAAUACCAAAACCAGAAGAUAAAUUGAAGAGGCACAGCAGAACAGAGAGGGAACACAAGUUGGGGAAAAGUUGGUCCCAUUGGAACUGCUGAAAAAACAGUUCACAUCUCUUAACUCCCAAAUGAUGCCCCACAAACCUCACAGACCACAUCACCCGUGGUCCAGUCUCAGGCUCAUUUUAAACCCUACCUCAGAAUGCUAUUUUUGCUAUUUUAUUCAUUGCUUCUUGAUUUCGCGUCUGAGUGACUUUUCCCCUCUAGUGAGAAGCAUUGCUAUCCAGCUCAUCUUUUGGUGGUGGUUAUCACUCUAUAUCACUCUGUCCAUCUUCUGGCAUUUUUCAAUGCUACUAAGGGCCAAAGGAGCUAAGUAGUUAGAAGACAAUACACCAUUAGGGACCAGCCAUGGCUGCACAAUACAUUUCAAACACACAAAUGUUCACCCACCAGUUUAAUCUGUAGUCCAUGCUCUGCAAAAUGAUUCUAGCACUGAUACAACUGAGGCUUGCCUGGAGACAAACUCUAUUGGAAGCAGUGAUGUGACUAGACCAUGAUUUUAGCAGAACCAGGAUUUCGUAUUCCAAGUUCCCAAUAUGUUGUCUCAUAUCGUAUUUGAACAUGUAACUUGGAGAACUUUGUAUGACAUAAAAUAUGAUGCAUACCAACAGAUUUGUGUUGGACUUG